rnacentral:rRNA from 1 species
UGGUGAUCUGCCUCGAAGUGUGGAAUAGCGUUCCGAAAGGAACGCUAAUACCGCAUGUGCUCUCGAUUUUUAGAAAGUUGAGAGUAAAGGAUUUAUUCGCUUCGAGAGGGGCCUGCGUCCCAUCAGCUGGUUGGUAGGGUAACGGCCUACCAAGGCUAUGACGGGUAGGGGACCUGAGAGGGUGGCCCCCCACAAUGGAACUGGAACACGGUCCAUACACCUACGGGUGGCAGCAGUAGGGAAUAUUAGAAAUGGACGAAAGUCUGAUCUAGCAACACCGCGUGUGCGAAGAAGGCCUUCGGGUCGUAAAGCACUUUUUGGAAGGAAUAGGAAGGAAUGUACUUCCAGAAUAAGUCUCGGCUAACUACGUGCCAGCAGCCGCGGUAACACGUAGGAGGCAAACGUUAUCCGGAUUUACUGGGCGUAAAGCGCGUGUAGGUGGUUCUGUAAGUAGGGCGUGAAAGCUCCCGGAUCAACUGGGA